GCGGCUUGUUGCGUCAGCUGUGAAAGCCCAUGGCUUAACUGUGGGUUGGCAGCUGAUACGGGCAGGCUAGAGUUCGGUAGGGGAGACUGGAAUUCCUGGUGUAGCGGUGAAAUGCGCAGAUAUCAGGAGGAACACCGGUGGCGAAGGCGGGUCUCUGGGCCGAUACUGACGCUGAGGAGCGAAAGCGUGGGGAGCGAACAGGAUUAGAUACCCUGGUAGUCCACGCUGUAAACGUUGGGCGCUAGGUGUGGGGGGCCUCUCCGGUUUCCUGUGCCGUAGCUAACGCAUUAAGCGCCCCGCCUGGGGAGUACGGCCGCGAGGCUAAAACCCAAAGGAAUUGACGGGGGCCCGCACAAGCGGCGGAGCAUGCGGAUUAAUUCGAUGCGACGCGAAGAACCUUACCUGGGUUUGACAUGGCCGUUAAAGCCGCAGAGAUGUGGUGUCCUUCGGGGGCGGUCACAGGUGGUGCAUGGCUGUCGUCAGCUCGUGUCGUGAGAUGUUGGGUUAAGUCCCGCAACGAGCGCAACCCUUGUUCGAUGUUGCCAGCGG
rnacentral:rRNA from 1 species